CAGCUUGUCGGCGCCAUUUUGUCUCGGCAGCGGUGGCCGUAGCUCCAUCGCAUUUUAUGUUUCUGGCGAGAAGGGAACGGAGUUUUCAUCAGGUAGAUUGGUUUUUGUGCGGCCGUCCUCCACCGUUUCCUCCAGGACAGCACCUAGUCGUGGCCGGAGGAGUCUCAGAGCUGUCAGAAAGAAUAAGACUGAUUUUAUGGGAAAAUUAAGCAGAUGCUCCAGUUUGAGAAACCUGGAUCUGCGAUCUGUUUGUGAGUGGUAUUCAGUUAAGAGAACAAUUAUUUCGUAUAAGCCACAUCAGAGACGACUGAAGAUGAAAAAACUACCAUCCCCGUAUAUAACUAAUUUGUGCUGUGCACCAACAAGAACCUGCUUUAAAUUUCCAUGGCAAUUUACAACCCCCAUACUGUACCAGGCAAGAUAUAAAACCAAGGAAAAUAACCUAAAGUCUGAAAAAGACCAGAAUCGAAGUUUCCUGAUUCAUAUUUUAAUGUUUUGAAAUUUAUACUCCAGGCUGGGUGCAGUGGCUUGUGCCUGUAAUCCCAGCACUUUGGGAGGCCGAGGCGGCCGGAUUGCCUGAAGUCAGAAGUUCGAGACCAGCCUGACCAACAUGGUGAAACCCUGUCUCUACUUAAAAAUACAAAAGAGCUGGGCAUGGAGGUGGUGCGCGCCUGUAACCCUAGCUACUCGGGAGGCUGAGGCCUAAGAAUCUCUUGAACCCAGGAGGCAGAGGUUGUAGUGAGCCGGGAUCACGCCACUGCACUCUAGCCUGGGCGACAGAGAGAGAGACUGUCUAAAAAAGGAAAAGAAAAAAAUUUAUACGCCAAAAAAGAUAUUCUGAGAUAACCUGUAGUUACCACUAACUUUGUGACAAAAUUAUAAAAAUCCACAGCCAUCUAUGAAUCUGUAGGCAGACCUGAAGUUUGAACGACUGGUGAAGACAUCUGAUUUUCUUUAUAGCCAAGUUAGGAUAACAAAAUGCAAACAAGUCAUUAAUAUUUACUAUAUGCAAGAUACAGAAAGAUGAAGGAAGGAGUAAGAAGUUAUCCUUCGUGGAACUAUUCAAAGCAAAAAUGCAAAAUACCAGGGAAAGCUUUGAAGAACCAAGAUUUGAGCAGGUUCUUAGAAUAUAGAUUGGAUUGGAUUUGAUUUCAAGAAAGAUGAACGUGUAAAGCAGAAGUGGGAAGCCAAAAACUUUUUUCCAAAUUAGAAUUAAGCAUUCUUUCAAUGAACAUUUGGAAAUCAAGGUAGAAAAAUAUCCCUAGGGCCUAGCUGAGGAGUCUGUAUGUUGUUGGGUUUUGAUAGUAACCAGUCCAAGAUUUUGUUAUUAGACGUGGGUUUCUGAAUAGACAGGCAUUUCUGAACAGACAUGACAGGAUCAAAACAAUGUUUGAGCAAACUGCCCUUCAUCUACUGUGGAUAUGUUGGGGGAUGAUGGAAUAUAGUGAAAGAUAAUGGGUGCUCAUACAGCAGUCUAGACUUAAGGUGAUUCAACUACUAUAUAUUAAACUAGAUUAUCUUUUAUUUUUUAAUUUUGAAAUCUGGAUGCUCAAGCUCUGCCUGCACAACCACAUGAGGAAGAAGGAACAAUGACAACAAAAAUAACACUAAAUUUAAAUUUAAGAGUACUACUUUUAGGAAAUAGACAAACCAUUAUUUGGGUACAACUAAAGGCAACUGGCAUGGACUCAAAUAUUUUGGGGAAGAAAAAGACUAAAAGUUCUAAGGAAGAAAAUGCGAACCUUGAUAGUUUGAAAUAGUUAAAAAGACAGUGUAGAAACUGCUUAGGCAGUUUGAUUAUGGACUAUUAGAUGAUACUUGGGUCUGAUAAUGGUAUAAGGAGAAUAAAGUAUUUAGGGAUCCAAUAUUACGCCUGCAGCUUUUUCCAAAUAGUUCAUGGGGGAGGGGGAUGUGUAAGUGGUUAACUGAAGUCUAACUAGAUAGGUUUGUUGUAAGCUUAGGAUGUUUACAGUUCUUCAUGUUAAGUUGAGCGUGAUGGGAAGGGAAAGAAUGCUGAUCUUUAAAUUUUUGUCCUUAGUUAAGUUCUGUAUUUAGUGAAUUAAUUGCAUCCUAAAAAGUCAAACUUGAAAAGCACAUUUUAAAUGGCAAAUCUAUUUUUUACAUGUUUGUGAAGUUUUUAUUUUUUAGUAAACAGACCAUCAGAAGAGAACAAUGGUACAGAGCAGGGGUCAGCAGAUGGAUUUUGUAAAGCAUCAACUUGUAAAUAUUUUCAAGUUUAUUAGCUGUAUGGCUCUGGUUUCUGUUCCCUGUUCCAAAUGUUAAAGUCUACUGUUGUAUUCUAAAAGCAGCCAUGGACUGAAUGUAGCUGUGUUCCAAUAAAACUUACACAAAAGCAGGCAGUGGGCCAUAAUUUGCAACACCUGAUUCACAGCAUAAUUUUGUCACAAACUGAAAGUGUUCCUCAAUUAAAGUGAUUUUUUUUUCUUG
rnacentral:lncRNA from 1 species